rnacentral:rRNA from 1 species
UACGUAGGGGGCAAGCGUUGUCCGGAAUUAUUGGGCGUAAAGCGCGUGUAGGCGGCUCGAUAAGUCUGCUGUGAAAGUCCAGGGCUCAACCCUGGAAUGCCGGUGGAUACUGUCGAGCUCGAGUCCGGAAGAGGCGAGUGGAAUUCCUGGUGUAGCGGUGAAAUGCGCAGAUAUCAGGAGGAACACCAAUGGCGAAGGCAGCUCGCUGGGACGGUACUGACGCUGAGGAGCGAAAGCGUGGGGAGCGAACAGG